rnacentral:rRNA from 1 species
AUGAACGCUGGCGGCGUGCCUUAAGCAUGCAAGUCAAGGGGGCCGCAAGGCAACCGGCGGACGGGUGAGUAACGCGUGAGAAUCUACCUCAAAGUUGGACAUAGCUCGGCGAAAGUCGGGGGUAAUUUCCAAUGUGGAUGCAAAUCUAAAGAUUUAUCGCUUUGAGAUGAGCUCGCGUCCUAUCAGCUAGUUGGUGGGGUAAUUGCCUACCAAGGCGACGACGGGUAGCUGGUCUGAGAAGAUGGUCAGCCACAAUGGCACUGCGACACGGGCCAUACACCUACGGGUGGCAGCAACUGGGAAUAUUCGGCAAUGGGCGAAAGCCUGACCGAGCGACGCCGCGUGGAGGAUUGAAGGCCUUCGGGUUGUAAACUCCUUUUAUCUGGGAAGAUUAUGACGGUACCAGAUGAAUAAGCAUCUGCUAACUACGUGCCAGAAGCCUCGGUAAUACGUAGGAUGCAAGCGUUAUCCGGAUUCAUUGGGCGUAAAGAGUUGCGUAGGCGGAUUUGCGCAUCUUAUUUUAAAGUCUUCGACUCAAUCGGAGUUUAGGCUAAGAUAUGGCAAGUCUUGAUGGUUAAAGAGGGUAUUGGAACUGAUCAAGUAGCAGUGAAAUGCGUUGAUAUGAUCGGGAACACCAAAGGCGUAGGCAGAUACCUAUUUAACUCAUGACGCUGAGGCACGAAAGCUUGGGGAGCGAAGCAGAUUAGAGACCUGCGUAGUCCAAGCCGUAAACGAUCCUUGCUAGAUUGUCGUAGCCGAUUUAUCGGAGUGACUGUCGUAGCUAACGCGUUAAGCAAGGCGCCUGGGGAGUACGAACGCAAGUUUAAAACUCAAAGGAAUUGACGGGGAGGCGCACAAGCAGUGGAGCGUGUGGUUUAAUUCGAUACGAAGCGUAAAACCUCACCAGGGUUUGACAUGCAAAUGCUAAGCCUAUGAAAGUAGGCCUCCUUCGAGGGUUUUGCACAGAUGCUGCAUGGCUGUCGUCAGCUCGUGGCGUGAGCUGUCCCCUUAAGUGGGUAAACGAGCGCAACCCGCACCGUAUGUUAAAUAAUCCAUGCGGAACAGCCCGGCUUUUGCCGGAAGGAAGGCGCGGAUGACGUCAAGUCAGCACGGCUCUUACACCCUGGGCUACACACACCCUACAAUGGCGAAAAAACAACGAGAUGCAAGUUGGUAACAGCAAGCUAAUCUCUAAAAUUUCGCCCCAGUUCAGAUCGAGGGCUGCAAUUCGCCCUCGUGAAGUCGGAAUUGCUAGUAAUCGCGAAUCAGCAGGUCGCGGUGAAUACGUUCUCGCCUCUUGUACACACCGCCCGUCAAGGCAGCAAAGUUGGGGGCACCCGAAUCAGAUUUUAUUUGAGAAGGUGAAACCAGCGAUGAGGCUU